UUACGGCCAUAUCACAUUGAUACACCGGUUCUAGUUUGAUCAUUGAAGUUAAGCAACGUCUCGCCAAUUCACUACGUAGAUGGGUGACCGCAUGGGAAUACCAGACG